rnacentral:rRNA from 1 species
AGCGAACGCUGGCGGCAGGCCUAACACAUGCAAGUCGAACGGUAACAGGCCGCAAGGUGCUGACGAGUGGCGAACGGGUGAGUAAUGCAUCGGAACGUGCCCAGUCGUGGGGGAUAACGCAGCGAAAGCUGCGCUAAUACCGCAUACGAUCUAUGGAUGAAAGCGGGGGACCGUAAGGCCUCGCGCGAUUGGAGCGGCCGAUGUCAGAUUAGGUAGUUGGUGGGGUAAAGGCUCACCAAGCCAACGAUCUGUAGCUGGGCUGAGAGGGCGACCAGCCGCACUGGGACUGAGACACGGCCCAGACUCCUACGGGAGGCAGCAGUGGGGAAUUUUGGACAAUGGGCGCAAGCCUGAUCCAGCAAUGCCGCGUGCAGGAAGAAGGCCUUCGGGUUGUAAACUGCUUUUGUACGGAACGAAACGGUCCUGGUUAAUACCCGGGGCUAAUGACGGUACCGUAAGAAUAAGCACCGGCUAACUACGUGCCAGCCGCCGCCGUAACAC